CAGCCGCCACGGGAAUACGUAGGUGGCAAGCGUUGUCCGGAAUUAUUGGGCGUAAAGGGCUCGCAGGCGGUUUCUUAAGUCUGAUGUGAAAGCCCCCGGCUCAACCGGGGAGGGUCAUUGGAAACUGGGAAACUUGAGUGCAGAAGAGGAGAGUGGAAUUCCACGUGUAGCGGUGAGAUGCGUAGAGAUGUGGAGGAACACCAGUGGCGAAGGCGACUCUCUGGUCUGUAACUGACGCUGAGGAGCGAAAGCGUGGGGAGCGAACAGGAUUAGAUACCCCCGUAGUCCCUGUCUCUUAUAC
rnacentral:rRNA from 1 species